UGCCCUGUAGCUCAGCGGUAGAGCAGGUGACUGUUAAUCACUUGGUCGCUGGUUCGAUCCCAGCCGGGGCAGCCA
rnacentral:tRNA from 1 species